rnacentral:lncRNA from 1 species
UGUGUAGUCAUCAGUCAUCGCUGUUGUUGCAUAUUCCCGUCAAUCUUCUGUGUCCUGCUACCUCCCUAGCCUGAAGAAAGCAUGCAGAUGAUGCCAUAAAACGACUGUAAAACUAAAUAUCUAGAGCUAUCCAUAGCUCAGCUCCCCUCAGGCAGCUUUCACCACUAGCUUUGGAAUGAAGAAGGGUCUCUGGGAUUGAAUCAGCCAUUCUCACCGCAAACUAAAACAGGAAACCCUCAGAAUCAGGGUCACCAGAUGAAGUUAUUACCCACAUAAGAUGGUUUUCUAUAGAAAGAGAGCUUCUAUUGACACUUACAAGCCAAAAAUACUAUAUAGAUCAAUUAGAACAUCAAAAUCAUGGGACUCGGAAGAGAUUUCUUGACACCCCUGGAUAACAUGGAAAUGGAAAAACUUUUCUUAUAAACCAACUUACUGCCAAUAGUGAGUGAAGUAGCCGUGGACUUUCAGCCCCUGUAAUCCCUCCUCUCCUCCAGCGAGCCCUGCUCUUCAGGGAUGUCCAGUCUGGAGCUGCUCAAGUGUCCCCAUGCAGCUGCUGCACCAUUGCCACCGCCGAUUCUUUCCCUGCAUUUGGUGCACACGCCUCAUGUCACAAACCAAGUGUGUGGAUUAACCGUUUCCCACGUUCUGUGUUUCACAGAGGUCCUGGAAUGUUUCCUUGUACUCUUCUUUUGGGGUAUAGAGAAUGCCUUAAAAAGCAGCGUCCCAAAUUUAAACACAUCGAACAGGAACUUCCGGAAUACUUUGCAACUUACCAGUUUGUAUGCUGCUAUACUAUAGAGUGCAAAUGGCCAAUAUGUACCCAUCUAACAAAG